GGGGACGACCGGUUUUGACGGGUAUUUUAACUUUUGGGUAUACAGCAUGUUGCAGGGCGGACUGCACAAAAACUCGCAAAAAAAUAAACGCUAAUAACAAUUUAGCAUACGCUGCCUAACUUUUAGGCAUGUUCAUUAUGGUAGGCUUACUAUACUAUGAUGGGCAACAAAGUAAAGUAAGAAACCUUCAGUUGGUGUUUUUGGCGACAGUAGGGGAUUUUUACCAAAAACUAGCGAAGUUGUAGGUUGUUUGUAAUCGACAACAUUAGCGAAAUUUAAAUUACAAACUAAGCAUGUAGAACAACUCAAAAUGAAUAUUCGGACGUGGGUUCAAUUCCCACCGUCUCCACCA
rnacentral:tmRNA from 1 species